rnacentral:rRNA from 1 species
CCUACGGGGGGCAGCAGUGGGGAAUAUUGGACAAUGGGGGGAACCCUGAUCCAGCCAUGCCGCGUGUGUGAAGAAGGCCCUCGGGUUGUAAUGCACUUUCAGUGAGGAAGAACGCCUGGUGGUUAAUACCCAUCAGGAAAGACAUCACUCACAGAAGAAGCACCGGCUAACUCCGUGCCAGCAGCCGCGGUAAUACGGAGGGUGCGAGCGUUAAUCGGAAUUACUGGGCGUAAAGCGCGCGUAGGUGGCUUGAUAAGCCGGUUGUGAAAGCCCCGGGCUCAACCUGGGAACGGCAUCCGGAACUGUCAAGCUAGAGUGCAGGAGAGGAAGGUAGAAUUCCCGGUGUAGCGGUGAAAUGCGUAGAGAUCGGGAGGAAUACCAGUGGCGAAGGCGGCCUUCUGGACUGACACUGACACUGAGGUGCGAAAGCGUGGGUAGCAAACAGGAUUAGAUACCCUGGUAGUC